GGAGGGAUGGCCGAGUGGUUUAAGGCGGCGGUCUUGAAAACCGUUGGGCGCGAGCCCCGCAGGUUCGAAUCCUGCUCCCUCCG
rnacentral:tRNA from 1 species